GUUAUAAAAAUGCACGGAAUAACAAAAAAUCUAUUUUUUUUAAAAUUUAUGACCAGGAAUUUGUUUCAUCGGAAAUUUCACCGACAAGCUGCCACCAGAGAAGGCCAUAAUGGCAGGGAAAAUGCUGAUUCAGCUUUCCGUUGAGAGGAACAAGUUGAUGUCUAACUACACCCUGUACGGACAUCGCCAAGUUCUUCCCAGAACCUGCCCUGGGGAGGAGUUCUACAAGAUCGUUACUGAAUGGAAGCACUGGAAGCCAGGAAAUUACACCACCACGUGAUCCCAGGAAUGACGUCACAUUUGAUGCAACCGCCAUUUUCUUUGUUUUUAGAUAUAGAUUUCGUUUAAUCGUUAAAACAUUUACGAUUAUAAACAUUGGUUUUAUAAA